UUUAUGGAGAGUUUGAUCCUGGCUCAGGAUGAACGCUGGCGGCNNGCCUAAUACAUGCAAGUCGAACGCACCAUUUCGGUGGUGAGUGGCGAACGGGUGAGUAACACGUAGGUAACCUGCCCUUAAGACGAGGAUAACCAAGGGAAACUUUGGCUAAAACUGGAUAGGAACAUCGAAGGCAUCUUUGAUGUUUUAAAAGACCUAGCAAUAGGUAUGCUUAAGGAGGGGCCUGCGGCGCAUUAGUUAGUUGGUGAGGUGAAGGCUCACCAAGACGAUGAUGCGUAGCCGGACUGAGAGGUUGAACGGCCACAUUGGGACUGAGAAACGGCCCAAACUCCUACGGGAGGCAGCAGUAGGGAAUUUUCGGCAAUGGGGGAAACCCUGACCGAGCAACGCCGCGUGAAUGACGAAGUACUUCGGUAUGUAAAGUUCUUUUAUCAGGGAAGAAUGGCUAGCGGAAAAGCUAGAUUGACGGUACUUGAUGAAUAAGCCCCGGCUAACUAUGUGCCAGCAGCCGCGGUAAUACAUAGGGGGCAAGCGUUAUCCGGAAUUAUUGGGCGUAAAGGGUGCGUAGGUGGUUGAUUAAGUCUUUGGUAUAAGUGCAGUGCUUAACGCUGUGACGCUAAAGAAACUAGUCGACUUGAGUGUAGUAGAGGCAAGUGGAAUUCCAUGUGUAGCGGUAAAAUGCGUAAAUAUAUGGAGGAACACCGGUGGCGAAGGCGGCUUGCUGGGCUAUAACUGACACUGAGGCACGAAAGCGUGGGGAGCAAACAGGAUUAGAUACCCUGGUAGUCCACGCCGUAAACGAUGAGUACUAAGUGUAGGGGAAACUCUGUGCUGUAGCUAACGCAAUAAGUACUCCGCCUGAGUAGUACGUACGCAAGUAUGAAACUCAAAGGAAUUGACGGGACCCCGCACAAGCGGUGGAUCAUGUUGUUUAAUUCGAUGAUACGCGAAGAACCUUACCAGGUCUUGACAUCCCAUGCAAAGCUAUAGAGAUAUAGUGGAGGUUAUCAUGGAGACAGGUGGUGCAUGGUUGUCGUCAGCUCGUGUCGUGAGAUGUUGGGUUAAGUCCCGCAACGAGCGCAACCCUUAUUGCUAGUUACCAUCAUUAAGUUGGGGACUCUAGCGAGACUGCCAGUGAUAAACUGGAGGAAGGUGGGGAUGACGUCAAAUCAUCAUGCCCCUUAUGACCUGGGCUACAAACGUGAUACAAUGGCUGAAACAAAGGGCAGCGAAGCAGUGAUGUGAAGCGAAACCCAAAAAAGCAGUCUCAGUUCGGAUUGAAGUCUGCAACUCGACUUCAUGAAGUCGGAAUCGCUAGUAAUCGCGAAUCAGAACGUCGCGGUGAAUACGUUCUCGGGGUUUGUACACACCGCCCGUCAAACCACGAAAGUUUAUAAUACCCAAAGCCGGUGGCCUAACCGCAAGGAGGGAGCCGUCUAAGGUAGGAUCAAUGAUUGGGGUUAAGUCGUAACAAGGUAUCCCUACGGGAACGUGGGGAUGGAUCACCUCCUUUCU
rnacentral:rRNA from 1 species